rfam:Vanderwaltozyma polyspora DSM 70294 KpolScaffold529 genomic scaffold, whole genome shotgun sequence.
GCUCGUGUAGCUCAGUGGUUAGAGCUUCGUGCUUAUAGUUGCAGUCGGUUUAACCGAAGCAUUCUGUACUCUAGUCUGCUAAAUACAGACAGUGAAAAAGCAACGCGACCGUCGUGGGUUCAAACCCCACCUCGAGCA